rnacentral:rRNA from 1 species
CCUACGGGAGGCAGCAGUGAGGAAUAUUGGUCAAUGGCCGGAAGGCUGAACCAGCCAUGCCGCGUGAAGGUCAGUGCCCUAUGGGCGUUAAACUUCUUUUGUGCGGGAGCAAUAAUGGUCACGUGUGGCCAGACGAGAGUACCGUACGAAUAAGCAUCGGCUAACUCCGUGCCAGCAGCCGCGGUAAUACGGGGGAUGCAAGCGUUAUCCGGAUUUAUUGGGUUUAAGGGGUGCGUAGGCUGUGAGGUAAGUCAGCGGGGAAAUGCCCCCGCUCAACGGGGUGAAGUGCCAUUGAUACUGCCUUGCUGGAAUGCGGAUGCCGUGGGAGGAAUGUGUGGUGUAGCGGUGAAAUGCAUAGAUAUCACACAGAACACCGAUUGCGAAGGCAUCUCACGAAUCCGCGAUUGACGCUGAUGCACGAAAGCGUGGGUAUCAAACAGGAUUAGAUACCCCAGUAGUC